UUGAGAAGGACAGAAUAACGGGCUCCCAGAUUCACAAGCCCCACCAAGAGGAUCACCCCAGGAACGCUUGGAGGCUGAGGAGUUCACUGAGGCUACUGCAUCUUGAGACUCAGGAUGAAGACCCAGCUUGGGGCUGUCAAAGGUUUUUUGCAUGUCUGACACCCAUGACUCCACCUGGACCUUAUGGCUCCACCCAGAAGCAAUUCAGCCCAACAGGAGGACAGCUUCAACCCAUUACGAUUUCAUCUCUGCCCCAACCACUCAGCAGCAAGCACCUGUUACCUGUCCACCCCCACCCCUUCCCCCAAACUGCCUUUGAAAAAUCCCUAACCUAUGAGCUUUGAAUAAGAUGAGUACGAACUUCAUCGCCCACGUGGCGUGGCCGGCCUC
rnacentral:lncRNA from 1 species